GUGUUAGUGGAAGCGUCUGGAAAGGCGCGCGAUACAGGGUGACAGCCCCGUACACAAAAAUGCACAUACUGUGAGCUCGAUGAGUAGGGCGGGACACGUGGUAUCCUGUCUGAAUAUGGGGGGACCAUCCUCCAAGGCUAAAUACUCCUGACUGACCGAUAGUGAACCAGUACCGUGAGGGAAAGGCGAAAAGAACCCCGGCGAGGGGAGUGAAAAAGAACCUGAAACCGUGUACGUACAAGCAGUGGGAGCCUCUUAAUGGGGUGACUGCGUACCUUUUGUAUAAUGGGUCAGCGACUUAUAUUCUGUAGCAAGGUUAACCGAAUAGGGGAGCCGAAGGGAAACCGAGUCUUAACUGGGCGUUAAGUUGCAGGGUAUAGACCCGAAACCCGGUGAUCUAGCCAUGGGCAGGUUGAAGGUUGGGUAACACUAACUGGAGGACCGAACCGACUAAUGUUGAAAAAUUAGCGGAUGACUUGUGGCUGGGGGUGAAAGGCCAAUCAAACCGGGAGAUAGCUGGUUCUCCCCGAAAGCUAUUUAGGUAGCGCCUCGUGAAUUCAUCUCCGGGGGUAGAGCACUGUUUCGGCAAGGGGGUCAUCCCGACUUACCAACCCGAUGCAAACUGCGAAUACCGGAGAAUGUUAUCACGGGAGACACACGGCGGGUGCUAACGUCCGUCGUGAAGAGGGAAACAACCCAGACCGCCAGCUAAGGUCCCAAAGUCAUGGUUAAGUGGGAAACGAUGUGGGAAGGCCCAGACAGCCAGGAUGUUGGCUUAGAAGCAGCCAUCAUUUAAAGAAAGCGUAAUAGCUCACUGGUCGAGUCGGCCUGCGCGGAAGAUGUAACGGGGCUAAACCAUGCACCGAAGCUGCGGCAGCGACACUAUGU
rnacentral:rRNA from 1 species